CCUACGGGAGGCAGCAGUGAGGAAUAUUGGUCAAUGGACGCAAGUCUGAACCAGCCAAGCCGCGUGCAGGAAGACGGCUCUAUGAGUUGUAAACUGCUUUUGUACGAGGGUAAACGCAGAUACGCGUAUCUGUCUGAAAGUAUCGUACGAAUAAGGAUCGGCUAACUCCGUGCCAGCAGCCGCGGUAAUACGGAGGAUUCAAGCGUUAUCCGGCUUUAUUGGGUUUAAAGGGUGCGUAGGCGGUCGGAUAAGUUAGAGGUGAAAUCCCGAGGCGCAACCUCGGAAUUGCCUCUGAUACUGUUCGGCGAGAGAGUAGUUGCGGUAGGCGGAAUGUAUGGUGUAGCGGUGAAAUGCUUAGAGAUCAUACAGAACACCGAUUGCGAAGGCAGCUUACCAAGCUACUUCUGACGUUGAGGCACGAAAGCGUGGGGAGCAAACAGGAUUAGAUACCCUUGUAGUC
rnacentral:rRNA from 1 species